rnacentral:rRNA from 1 species
GAGUUUGAUCCUGGCUCAGAACGAACGCUGGCGGCGUGCUUAACACAUGCAAGUCGAACGUGAUUGAGAGCUUGCUCUCAUGAAAGUGGCGCACGGGUGAGUAACACGUGGAUAAUCUGCCUGGCGAUUCGGGAUAACACUUCGAAAGGGGUGCUAAUACCGGAUAAGCCCACGGACUCUUAGGGGUUUGCGGGAAAAGGGGGCCUCUGUAUAUGCUCCUGUCGCUAGAUGAGUCCGCGGCUCAUUAGCUAGUUGGUAGGGUAAUGGCCUACCAAGGCGACGAUGGGUAGCUGGUCUGAGAGGAUGAUCAGCCMCACUGGAACUGAGACACGGUCCAGACUCCUACGGGAGGCAGCAGUGGGGAAUUUUGCGCAAUGGGCGAAAGCCUGACGCAGCAACGCCGCGUGAGUGAUGAAGGCCUUCGGGUCGUAAAGCUCUGUCAGUGGGGAAGAACCGCCGGGUGGUUAAUACCUGCCUGGUCUGACGGUACCCACAAAGGAAGCACCGGCUAACUCCGUGCCAGCAGCCGCGGUAAUAC